UGCAUCGGCCGGGAAUCGAACCCGAGCCGCUCGCGUGGCAGGUUGAGCAUUCUACCACUGAACCACCGAUUGU
rnacentral:tRNA from 1 species